AGCUGGAGGAGAGUGGAUGGUGCUCUGGGCUGGCUGCUGGGACUCAACCAGGACAAGGUCCUGGGGUAAGGACUGCAUGUGACUUGGCCAGAAGGCUGAGUCACUGAAGACCCACCACAAGCUGAGAGAAUGGGCAGGCACAAGCACUGAGACGGGGGUGCUCUUGAGAAGCAGAUCUCCCAGAAGUAACAUACCUUAAGACUGAUUCCGCCAGAUGGGAAGUGGAAGACACGUAUUUCCAUGGCUGACCAUUGUAUGUCUUAUAAUGGAAGUCUAUUUGCAUAUAGAGUCAAAUGCUAAUGAAGAGAUUGAAGCGAUUUCAAGAGAAGAAAUUAACAGGAAGAAGUGAACAGAGGGAGAAUUUACACAUAGGGAAUAAAGGACUAUUCUAACAUACCUCGGCAUGCAAAAAGACAUCAUGGCAUCCUUCUUUGGGGGAGACAGGCUACUGGUGGGGUUGGUCUCAUGAAAAGAAGGUCUCAGCCAUUCUGGUUGAGAAACACUGUGAGAAGGAUUCUGAGGAAGCUGUACGUCACUGAACUAGAA